AUGCCAAUGGGGAGGAAAAGGGAGCCUGGGGGUCCCGAGGGGGCGGCGUGGGUGCUGGGUGCUCAGGCUGUGUGUGCGGGGUGCCUGUGCCCAGCGAGCGCCCAGCGGGCAGCACGGGUGCGAGCAGCGCCUGCAGCCAGCACGUGUCUGUCUGCACCCCGGGACGUGUGGGCUGCCUGCGUGGGCAGGGCUGGGGGGCUGGGGGUGCGCACGGUGGGGCACCAGAGGGCACGCGUGCGGUGGGCUGAGCGUGGGGUGGAACGAAGUGUGUGCGCAGCGUGGGUGUGCGUGUGCCGGGCAGUUUGUGCCGCGUGCCCGUCGCAUGCAGCGUGCGCAGCGCGGGUGCAGCGGGCAGUGCUCAGGGUGGGGUGUCCGCGUGCUGUGCGCACAGUGUGCGCAGCGCAGUGUCUGCACCCGCAGCAUGCAGGGCGCAGGGCGUGCAGCGUGCACACCUCCGGGUGUGUGCAAGGAGCGCAGGGCAUGCAGAGCGUGCAGGCACAGCACGACUCCGUGCACAGUACCUGUAGGCAUGCAGUGUGUGCAGGGUGUGUGUGCAGGGCGUGCAGUGCCUGUGUGUGCAGUGCAGGCGCAUGCAGGGCAUGCAGUGUGUGCAGUGGGUGUGUGCAGGGCGUGCAGUGCCUGUGUGUGCAGUGCAGGCGCAUGCAGGGCAUGCAGUGUGUGCAGUGGGUGUGUGCAGGGCGUGCAGUGCCUGUGUGUGCAGUGCAGGCGCAUGCAGGGCAUGCAGUGUGUGCAGGGUGUGUGUGCAGGGUGUGCAGUGCCUGUGUGUGCAGUGCAGGCGCAUGCAGGGCAUGCAGUGUGUGCAGUGGGUGUGUGCAGUGUCUGCACAGUGCAUGUAGUGCCUGUGUAUGCAGUGCAGGUGCGUGCAGGGCAUGCAGCACACGCCAUGCAGCACCGCACAUGCUGCGCAUGCGGAUGUGCAGUGUCUGUGCUUGCAGCAGGUGCAGCAUACCCGACGUGCCGUGUGUGCCCGUAGUGCCCACGGGUGCUGUGCCUGGCGCCCCUGUGGCACGUGCUGGCUGCGUGGCAUGUACAGUGUGGUGGGCGCAGCGUGCAGAACGCAGGCAGCGCGUGCACAGGGGCUGUGAAUGCAGUGCACAGUGUUUGCAAUUCGUGUCGCAUGCAGCGUGCGGUGCACGUGCAGCACUGUGCAUGCAGCAUGUGUGCCGUGUCAGCAUGUGUAUCACUGGGAGCUGCUGGCCCCCCAGGACGCCCCACGGCCCCUCGCAGGGGGUGCUGUAG
rnacentral:lncRNA from 1 species